GACGAACGCUGGCGGCGUGCUUAACACAUGCAAGUCGAACGGUGAAGCGCCUUCCUUUUUGGUGGGUGUGGAUGAGUGGCGAACGGGUGAGUAACACGUGAGUAACCUGCCCCCUUCUUCUGGAUAACCGCAUGAAAGUGUGGCUAAUACGGGAUAUUCUGGGUCUGUCGCAUGAUGGGUCUGGGAAAGGUAUUGUUUCGGUGGGGGAUGGGCUCGCGGCCUAUCAGCUUGUUGGUGGGGUGAUGGCCUACCAAGGCGGUGACGGGUAGCCGGCCUGAGAGGGUGGACGGUCACACUGGGACUGAGACACGGCCCAGACUCCUACGGGAGGCAGCAGUGGCGAAUAUUGCACAAUGGGCGCAAGCCUGAUGCAGCGACGCCGCGUGAGGGAUGGAGGCCUUCGGGUUGUGAACCUCUUUCGCCAGUGAAGCAGGCCUGCCUCGUUUGUGGGUGGGUUGACGGUAGCUGGAUAAGAAGCGCCGGCUAACUACGUG
rnacentral:rRNA from 1 species